UGGGGAAUAUUGGACAAUGGGGGGAACCCUGAUCCAGCAAUGCCGCGUGUGUGAAGAAGGCCUUAGGGUUGUAAAGCACUUUAGUUGGGGAAGAAGUGAUACAUUUUAAGAGAUAGUAUUAUUGACGGUACCUGAAGAAUAAGCACCGGCUAACUCUGUGCCAGCAGCCGCGGUAAUACAGAGGGUGCGAGCGUUAAUCGGAAUAACUGGGCGUAAAGGGCGCGUAGGCGGUUGUUUAAGUUGGAUGUGAAAUCCCUGGGCUUAACCUAGGAGCUGCAUACGAAACUGGACAGCUAGAGUACUGUAGAGGGUAGUGGAAUUUCCGGUGUAGCGGUGAAAUGCGUAGAGAUCGGAAGGAACACCGGUGGCGAAGGCGGCUACCUGGCCAGAUACUGACGCUGAGGCGCGAAAGCGUGGGGAGCAAACAG
rnacentral:rRNA from 1 species